ACCAACCCCGUCCGCACCUUUGCAGGCCGGCCAUGCCCGAUUUUGGCAGCGGCCUUCACACAUGAGUCACCGAGACAGCCUGGGACUCUCAGCUCCCAGAUCCGACCCUGGGAGGGAGUGGGCUCAGGGCUGGGGCCGGGAGCUGGAGGAGAUGGGACGGACCCUCACUCUUCUUUCCCUUCUUCCGCCCUCACCAGCAGGGCUGUCUGGGUCCCAGCCUGGCCCAGGAACUUGGAGGAGGGAAGCCGGGAGCGUCGGGCCGGCAUAGUUGUCCAAGCCCACCUCCACGGCGCCCCCUUUGGCCCUAGGGGCUCCCGCGCUCCCCCAGCUCGCCGGGACUCACCGCCCAGCAGCGGCAGCAGCAGGACACUGAGCAGAAGCAGCCGGCGAGGGCUGCUCGGGGUUCCGCGCGCGGCUCCCAUCCCGGCGGGCCCGGGAAAGGGGGCGGGCGGACGCACGGCGGGCUAGCGGUCAGCGCUCCCCGGCGGGCCCAGGAGGCCGAGCGCACCGGAGCGCGGGUACCGCUGCAGCAGCCGCAACCAGAGUCAGAGCCCGAGGCGUCCCGAGCUGGAGCCGCGCGCGCCCGGUACCUCCGUCCGAGCCGUCGCGCGCCGCCGCCGCCGCCGCCGCCGCCGCCGCCGCCGCCGCCAAGCCCCGCCCCGCGACGCCCCCUCGACGCCCCCCUCCCCGCCGUUGUGGGGAGGAGCUCCUACUUGGGGGAGGGGUCUGGAGACGGAUGGGGGACAGAGAGAAGGAGGCCCCGGGGGAGUGUGGGGACCUGAGAGAGAUAGGGGAGCGGAUGCUGUGCCUACCACCUAGUUUGCAGGGACUCAGGGGACCUAAAGUGACUUUUGUGAUUCCGUGGCUCCUGGGGAAGAUCGUGGUUUCUGGGCUUUCCUGAGGGCUGUGACCAACAGUUCCCCCAAAUUCUCCGGGUGGGAGGUGAAAGGGUGGGUUCUGGCUCACUUCUCAGCAACCUGAAAUCCGGAGGGAGAUCCAGAACAGAAGGGUGUCCUUGGUGUCCCCAAGCAAGGUAAACUGGAGAUACUGUGGCGCCCCAGGAGAGAAGUAGCCUGGAGAAGAGGAGGACCAGUGCAUGGCUAGGGUCUGGUUUGGCUCUGGACCAAUCUGAACCCAAAGGUAGAGAGAGACUGGGCUCUCUGAACACCAGGCUGAAGGCUGUUAAACUGACAGAUUCAUCCCAAGUCCAUCUCCAGGCAGUCUGGGCUGUGUCAGGGCAUGGCCAAGUCUCCAGCUGUGGGGAGGCCCAGUACAGCCCUUGUUCCAGGCGCCCCCCACCCCCAGCGCCACCACCCCCACAUUCUUUCUUUGUUGUGAAAGCAGCAAGGGGUGUAGGAGGCGGGUCAGGAGGAGUCAAGCUUUGGAAGAUGGGCCCCAGCUGCUGCUGGGCCUCCAGGAUAUGCCGAGAGGGUAUGGAUAGUAAGUGCCUCAUCCCCCUCUGGCUCCAGAGGGCCCCCCAGGCCUGCUUAGACCUCCCUUCCCCCAAGCAGCUGGGAGGAGGAGGGGCCACCACAGAGGGCCUCACAGGCCAGGAGCAGUGGCGCCAGGACUCCAGGGUCCUGCCACAUGGCCGCCACAUGUCCCUGACAACGCAGUCCACAGCACCUUCUCCUUGGGUUGUGGGCCUCCCCCCAUCCCCCAGACGCCUGCCUGCAGGCCCUGCUGGAGAGGAUACAAACAGGGGAAGGAAGAGAGGAGAGAUCCAAGAAGCAACAUUCCUCCUAUUGCCCCAUCCAUCACUGCCCCUCACCCUUCUGUGAGGGGCCCCAACACCACCCUUGCUUCCUACCCUCUUCAGUUAGGACUCAAGUGGCUGAAUGGUUACCUGAUUCUUUUAUUUAGGUAAAGUGAAAUACACGGACCUGAAGUGAGGCAGCAGAGGGAACAAGAGAGGCCAGGGCAAGGCAGGUUGGCUGGCCAGUCCCAAACCCUCUGACAGAAAAGCCAGCUGCAGGCUGCAUCUCUGAGGUGCAGACCCGCUCCUUACCCACUCUGGGGCCCCUAGUAGCAGAGCUAGCUACUCUAGAGUACCACAGGGUGGGGAGAGGAUGUCCUGAGGGUCCUUCCUGAGGGGGAUUCCUGAGGAGGGAGCUGAGACCCUAAGGGCAGCAGCAAUCUUCUGGUUAACUGCUCCCCCUUCACUGUCCCACCUUGGGGCUGGAAGAGCCAGGAGCAAUAGGGAAUGCUGUGAGGACUGUGUGGGGGACCCAGCAGACCUGGGGGGGUGGGAUGAAUGUCAGCUGCUUGAAGAGAGGUCCAUACUGCUGGCACUGAGGCCUCGGGAGACCUGAAAUAGACAAUAGCAUGCCAUCAGCCCAGGGACCUCAGCCUCCCAAAGACUGUCCCCUGGAGUCUUAUCCAUCUCACGGCUGCAGUCUCUCUCUGGACCUAGGAUGGAGCCCGUAACCUCAACCCCAAGCUCUGGGCUUUGUUUAGUCUUUGCUACGAUUUCCCAGAAGGCCACAAUCUGGUGGAGAAAAUACCUGGAAGAACCACAUGAAUAUUGGCAUAUACUUUGAAUGUGUUGAUACAGGUGGUCGUUUCCCAUUAAAAUGUCAUUGCUACUUCUUUAA